GUUAGGUUAGGGAGGAGUGUAAGGGAGGACUGGCAGCUCUGCCUUCAGACUCUCAUAUGAAUCUCCUGGGACAAUGGGUGAAACUCUCCCUGUGUCUGCACUGUAACUCUGGGCUGAGUGUCUCACUAGUAGCUGUGUCCUCAGAGUGAUUGAUCAGGCUUGCAGGCAGGCAGACAGCUGGCUGGGUGUGUUAACUCCACAUCUGACCUCUAUGGGAACAGAGCUAUCUCCUCUCCUCGCCAAGCAGACUGUGGGAACCAGGGGGACAGAGUUUUAUCCUCCCGCCCCACCACCGCCACCCCGCCUCUCCCUGCUUCUUGCUGGGCCGUAUAGCUCAUAGAACUGGCAGUGGACAGACCGGGACAUGACAGGACAAGACAGCUCUGGCAGCCAGACCUCUGAGGAUUUCCACUGCAGAAGGAGUUUUGGAGCUGCCUCCGUCACUCAGAUAGCCAGGCAUUUUUCUUGUCAGUUAUUAGCCAGAUUACAGUUAGUCAUCCAGUAAAUCAGUCACCAGGGUCUUCUACUCUGCAUAUCCUCAUUUGAACUCUGAUGGGACUCAAACCCUAUCCUGGACCGCUAGAGGACCAGCAGAGGUUACAGUGCUCCACAGCUGCUGCAUAAGAGAAACAUCCAGAGUCCAAAAACCGUGCAAGAGAGCAGAGGGGGGUAAAGGGCAGAGAGGUGGAGACCAGGCCUCUGGUCUAGCUGCUUAGGGGAGGGUUCCUGGCACCGUGAUUUGAUGCACAAAGAGAAACAAAAAUCACAUUGCCAGGGAUUUCCACUCCUUGACAGCUCAGUGGGAACCCUGACCCAACCUCACAUUUCACUCUUGGCUGCAUGCGUUCUCAGGCCGGACUCUAGAGUGCUAAAGAAAUUAAACAGGAAUUUUAUCAACCAUCUCAGCAGACCUCUAAAAGGUUGAUCGCUUCUGUGUGUAUUUAAGGCUCCAGCUGUUUGAAAUUUAAACUAGUCUCCCCACUCUCCGCUCUAAUGUCCCAGGAAAUGGGUGUAAAUGCAAACCAGAGCCCCACAAGACAAGGUGGGAUUUUAGAUUUACAGCAUAAGCAAGGAAUUUCUCAAGAUAUAUGAAAUAAGUGAAGAUCCUCCACAGCACUAUGCCCUCUGAAAAACGUUGCUUGAACUGCUGGCUCCGAGACCACUGACUUCACUGCCGACUUCUCACGUAAAGGUCUGCAUAAAUCUCAGCCAGCCACCCACUUGCUGAGGGCACAGAGCUUAGCUAAUUGGUGAGCAUUGAUCCCUUCAAUGUGUUGUUCACAGUGGCUAAGUUCAGUGCCCGAGGUGAAAUAGUUGAUACGACGUCGAGGAUUUGUUCCAGUGGAUGGACAGAACUUGAUGAUCUCGGAAAAGGUGAAAGAUGAAGGAAUUAAGGAGGAAAGUAGGAAGGAGAGUAUUGUAGGGGAUGAGGUUCAAAUACAAUCAUGUCACCAUUAUGACCUAAAGCAGUGGUUCCCUACCUUUUUGGACUUCUGUACCCCCUUGGCCAUUUUAAUCAUACCAUCAGUUCCCCCUGCGUCAAAUGUAUUGAUUAUUUUCAAAAAAUAGAAAGUACAACUGAUUAUAAGAUAAAAACAAUUAAAUUAAAUUCUCAGACAUUUAAUUCUUUUCAUUUAGAAUAAAAAAAUAACAUAAAUAUGCUGCCUAGAAAGUGAUAAAUAAAAUUAUAUUUUUAUUCACUGUCAUUAUUACUUUGUUUUCAUCAUUCACUGUGUUAAUUGAAUUUGCUUGAAUUUUCUUUUCUUGUGGAUGAGAAGACUGUGAUAUAGGCCGUCACAAUCAAAACUAAUCUGACCCAUACAGUGUAUAAUAUUUUAAAGCACUUUUACAUUGCUCUGACUUUUAUGAUUAGGAAUUUUUUCAGUAAAAAAAUAAGUAAAUUUUAAUUAAAAAAAAUACAGUAACUACCACGUUUAUUAUAAACUCUAAUAAAGAUGUAUUUUAAUUCUUGAAAUAUAUAAAUCUCACACCAUAAGCGUGAGACUGAUUUUUUUUUGUUAACAUUACAUAAAAUUAUGGAUGUAUGGAUGUACAGCUGCAAUUAAUCAACUUCAAUGUAAUUUGGUGAAAUGAAACACUGUUAUUUAUAAUGAAAUAUUAAAAUAAAGAAAACUGAAGCACUUUUUACUACGGUAGUUAAACUUCACUUUUUUUAAGUAUUAGUCUAAAACUUUUUUGCUACCUGAUGUAUACAUAUAAUCAGGCAAGGAGGCACAUGUAUCUCAACUACUGUCAUACUGUCAAUUGGGCAAGAAAAACCUGCCCAUAUCUCUAAAAGUCUUUUUGAGACUGUCACAGUUUUUGUACUUUGGUAUUGAGCUUAUUUUCUAUUUGUCAGGAAAAAUCCAUUUUGAAAAGAGUUUUUCUAAAAAUGUAACUUAACUCUUUAAGUGUGUCAUAGCACUUUACAUGCAGUCCCAUUUUUCUAUUGGUAUUAUUUAAUUUUUUGAGCUUGGGCUUCAUUUUUGUUUUGAUGAUCUCAAAUACUGUUUUAUCCCAAUUUGAGUUGCGUUAUGUGGAAUCAUCACACAUUUUAGUCAGCAGUACGGUUAUUGUUAUCAUGCUUUAUAUGUGUAGGCUUUACAUAUUUUUCCAUGCACAUUCUGUGCUUUAUAAAUGUCUGUACGAAAUAUUUCAGCUUUUCUAAAGUUUUGUUGUAAAACAAGAUGAAAUUGGACAAAACAGAUUGGGUACUAAAUCUAUCCUUUUGAGAUUGCUGUCAUUGGAGGCCCAGACUUAACUCCAGACACCAUCUGUAAAAAAAUAACCGUGCAGAAUCUUUAUGAAAAGCUGUGACUUAUAUUUGUGGGUGCCACUUGCAUGAUGGGUUGAGCUUAUAUUUGUUUAAUAAGUAUGGAUUUUUGUGAAACCUUUUUUUUUUUGUGUCUGAAUCAUGUUGCACAUUAUCUAAAUACAGACCAGAAAAGAGCCAAAAACUCUAGUCAUUAAUUUCCAUAGUCUUGCUAAGAGCGUUUCCUAUUCUUGUGAAGUAACAGUUAACCAAAAGAACAUUUAGAUGAAUUACAAGCUAAAUUAUUAACAAGUCUAAUUUAAAAAAAAUAGGUUAAACAUGCUAGCUUUUGUAUUACACUUUUCCGAACCUCUCCAUAAAAAUCCCAGCAAUGUCAGUAAGACGCGACUUAGAACAGAGGACAAACUGUUAACGAUAGACGUCUGGACAAAGGUCUAAUGACAGGAAUAUCCCAAACAUGAUCCUUACUAUUUCUUAACCUUUCAACUGUUUUCAUGACUUCAUUAUUGUUUUUAUUAAAAUCAUCUGAUCUGUUGUAGAGGAAUUAUUGUACAAUAUUUUUUAUGAUAAACUUGGUUGUCUUUUAUCUAUACAUAAGGUCAUUUUGAUUUUUGCAGCAUUUCAUAUAUUGAAGUUUGACCUGUGAAGGAGAGGCAGGGCUGUGCCCUCCUGUGCCUACUGAACUGGUAUCAGUGUUUUACCUGAAAACUGGCUCAGUUCAGCAGGAACAGGAGUGGAGCCCACUGACUUUGAGGACAAGCAUGCAGCAAGAGAACCCAGCCCAAGUUAAGAGUUUCUGCUGGUUUUAAUGGGCCGCACCCUACGCAGAGCAGGAAUGGAGCUUUGAGUCAGCCAGGAAAAUCAUAGUCAAGCACCUAAACUUGUAACUCAGCAGUUUUUUUUUUACUAUUUAAGCUCAACAUUGAUGAUCCGUAAAUAGUACUAAUUUCUUUCAGGUCAUCCCUUGGUUUCAAGCUAUCAUGUGAAUGCUGCUUUAAACUAACAGAGCUGACGCUGUUCUGCUCACCUUUCAUUUUUAUUUCCCACUCUUUCCUCCAUCUUUCCCUCCUAGAGGCCAGACUGAGACUGGAAGUCAAUUUGAAGUAAUCCCAGUGAAAUGUUUGCUAUGCUUGGGUAGUUGAUGUCAACCAGCAGUUCCCAUUUGCACCAAUGGGGACCAUGUACAAAGCUGUCCCCACCCCCAACCCCGACGCUGUAGGCAAAAAAGGACUGGUGCUUCUUAGUACAGUUUAUUCCCAGAGGAGAGUACAGGCUCAUCAUUAUGCGUGAUUAAUGUGCUCUAAUCCAGCCAUACUCUUUGAGAACAGGAACUGUAAAAGUAUGUUUCUGUUGUGCUAAAUUUCACAAGAUAAAUGUUUAAUUCAAAGCUGAGGCAGGUUAUCUACAGAAAUGGAAGAGGGUUGAUGACUGCAGGGCUUUGUUCACACCAGGUGCUACAGAAGAGAAAUUAGUGAUUUUAUGUAUAUGCUCAUUAUAACAAAAUGCCUCAUAGGAUGGUACAUAAAAUGCAUUUUUUAAAUGUCAGAACUUGUUCAAAGUGCUUAUUAAUGUCAUGCAUAAUGUGGUUUUGAGUUUGUUUCCAUUUUAAGACUAGUCCCCUAACAAUUUAAAGUAAUAACCUUUACAUAAACUUUAGAGAUAAUAUUGAUUUUUUUUAAUUCUGUAUCCUAAUUCUCUACUAACCUAUAGUGAGUACAGACUUAGUACAAGGACAGGAUGCUCCCAAUUUAUCUAAAACAUGAUAAGCUUUCUUUCUACUUGUAAAAGUAACUGUAUGCUGAUUAAAUACAGUAUAUACCGUAUGCUACUUUUUAAAAAACUUUUGAUUGUUUUUUCAAGUCUGAAGCUCUGAAUUUUAGGUUUCACUGGAUGUAAAUAUGGUUUGCUGGAGACUGAAACAUGUGUUCCUCAGCUAUUUAUGAGGGGAAAAAAUCACAUCAAAAAAUAAACAAAUGCAACUUUUCAAAAUGCUAUAUUGUCACAAACACUAAAUAAAUCUUGAAGUUAGUCAGGUC